rnacentral:sRNA from 1 species
GUCCCAGAAACCCAGGAAAUCGAGACUCAUGACUCCCAGAGAGGAUGGCAUCUAGAAGACUCUGCAGCCAGCCAUCUAUGCAGCGCCCCAGUGGCUUUGAAAUGCAACAGAAACCAUCACCCCUGGACCAUGGGCUCCAUGCCAGUGGGCAAAGCACAGCCCCACCCAGCCCCAGCCCCAGGAGGAGGAGCCUGUCUGGAUGGACGCAGCCUCAACUGACCCACAAACAGACCAAAAAAGUCACUCUCAAAGAGCUCUUGGUAGGUUUGUAAAUACUUAACUGAUGGUAAAAUGGCAUGAACCCCUACCCCCGAUGGAUCUGAACCGUUCACUUGACCCACUUUAAACUGACCAGACUUCUCCAAAUAAGCUCCAUCCACCCCUGGUUGGGGUACCCCACUAGCUUUGUCCUCAGGCCAACCUGCAACCCAAAGUGGGUUACACCUUGGCCCCCAGGCACACAGACCCCAGCUUUACAAGGACCCCAGCUCCUUAACACAGAUCCCAGCUCCGAGGAAACUCGUCCCCCCCA